GUUUCGUGUCAUUAGAAGAAGGAGGUACGUGAGAUUCAACCACAUUCGGUUGGGAGGAAACUACAUUUGUACCGGAAUGUAUUAAGUCUGAGUUGGAACAUUCUUCAAUGACGUUAAUAAGUAGGUCAUUCAGCGAAAGAAGUUUCUGCACAUAGUAUUCAUCUUCAUUUUCCUCUCGAAGAAUUCUUGCUAUUUUCGUUUGGUAAACCUUUAAAGAUUCAACGGCAUCCGCCAACGUGCCUUCUUCUAAAGAUACAGUUUGAUUAACCAAAAAUUGCUUUACCCGAAGUGCUUUUGAUCUAAUCGAUUCAAGGUCGGCAGCAGCCAAGGCAGAGUAAUCUUCAGUAUUCUCUUCAUCAUAGCCAGCUAUUACUUUCAUAAGAGCAUUGGCUUCAGCCAAAUCCAUGGGGGUCCCUCGUCGAAGCAAUUCUUGCAAUUUAGCUUUGUGAGCUUCUAAAUCUUCACGUGCUAAUUCUUGUGCAGAACGAAGACUAUUAUUAGGCUUCAUGACAGCAAUGGAAUCUUCGUCUACCGCAGGAAACUUGUAACCACGAAAAGCCAUAAGCUCCCGAAUGUCGUGAAUGCGAGAAAAAUCUUCACGAUGGCGAUUGUUUUUACAAAGCAUGUAAUUCCACUCUUCUAGCAUUUCUAGCAUUUUAGAUUGAAUUUUAUUCAUUCGGGAGAUGGGAUGGUUUGGGAAUCGUGAAACGAAUCCAUUUAAAAACUCUUCUGAUGCGAUCUGAAAGUGAAAUGGAUAACCGCAGUUCUUUACACAAAUAUCGAGCAACUAAAGCACUUAUGUUAACCAAAUAUCUCACAAGAAAGCGUAAAGUACUCUGGACUCGCCAUGGUGAACAAUAAACGCUUGACCAUGCACAUAAAGGAGAGAUUCGUAAACUGAUGGGUACCAACCAUUCUCCUCAAAGGCUAGAGGAAUAUACUUACAUGUAAAGCCAGAUAUGAAACUGUGGGAUUUGCACUGUUGACACGCUUUAAAAUCAAUAAAGCUGCUUCACGUGGGCUGCGAAAAGUCAGCAACAAAGCAAUUGUAGGAAUUAAAUCCUUAAUUCACGUACGUAUUUCCUUUCUUUUCAUUUAUAAGGUCCGCUAUCUCUAUAUUCAAGGCCAAAUUUGGCUCCAAAUUGAAUUGAUCGGUAGCUUUGUCUAAUUACUUGUCAGCGAUUCAUAUUCCCAUCUUAACAGUAAAAUAUAGCGUCACAAAAGAAUACUCACCAAUAUACUUUGAUAAAGUCUGGCUAGAGCGCAUGGUGAUAAGUAGUAAAUUUUUCUAGAUCUAAAAACAAAACAGAAGGCAGAUUCGCAGAUUUGAAGAGCCAAUAAAAUUAAAACAAAAAGAAAAAAUCCAAAAACAAAAUUGUGCAAAAGUCUGAGGUAUACUCUUCAGUCAAGGAAGUUGGGAGGCUUGGUUUACCAACAAGAGACCAAACGAGUUCUAAGUCAAAUAAGGUAUGCGAUAGUAGAGUAAAGAUUAAAACCACCAUAAGAACCCGGUUAUAUCUGGUUCA